GGGAGAAGGCAACUCUGGCUGUAUCUCAAUACAGCUGGACAGAACUCUAGAACUUGUCACUUUCAAUACACAGUAUCCUCCUCUCCCCCUCCUUCCCCAUUCCUCUCCUCCCUCCCUCCUCUCUCCCUCUCUCCUCCUCCACUCCACUCCCUCCACUCCUCUCCUUCCCUCCUUCCCCAUUCCUCUCCUCCCUCCCUCCUCUCUCCCUCUCUCCUCCUCCACUCCACUCCCUCCACUCCUCUCCUUCCCUCCUUCCCUUCCCUCCACUCCUCUCCUUCCCUCCUUCCCCAUUCCUCUCCUCCCUCCUCUCUCCCCCUCCACUCCACUCCUCUCCUUCCCUCCUUCUCCAUUCCUCUCCUCCCUCCCUCCUCUCUUUUUCUCUCCUCCUCCACCACUCCUCUCCUACCCCUCCCUCCUUCCUUCCUUUUCUCAUGUAAACCAACACAAGGACCACCAUCUCCCUCCUCCCUUCGUCUCUCUCCCUCCUCCCUUCGUCUCUCUCCCUCCUCCCUUCGUCUUUCUCCCUCCUCCCUUCCAUCUCCCUCUGUCUCUCUCCCUCCCUUCCAUCUCCCUCUGUCUCUCUCCCUCCCUUCCAUCUCCCUCUGUCUCUCUCCCUCCCUUCCAUCUCCCUCUGUCUCUCUCCCUCCCUUCCAUCUCCCUCUGUCUCUCUCCCUCCCUUCCAUCUCCCUCCUCCCUUCGUCUCUCUCCCUCCUCCCUUCGUCUUUCUCCCUCCUCCCUUCCAUCUCCCUCUGUCUCUCUCCCUCCCUUCCAUCUCCCUCUGUCUCUCUCCCUCCCUUCCAUCUCCCUCUGUCUCUCUCCCUCCCUUCCAUCUCCCUCUGUCUCUCUCCCUCCCUUCCAUCUCCCUCUGUCUCUCUCCCUCCCUUCCAUCUCCCUCUGUCUCUCUCCCUCCCUUCCAUCUCCCUCUGUCUCUCUCCCUCCCUUCCAUCUCCUUCUGUCUCUCUCCCUCCUCCCUUCCGUCUCCCUCUGCCUCUCCCUCCCUCCCUUCCGUCUCCCUCUGCCUCUCCCUCCCUUCCAUCUCCUUCUGUCUCUCUCCCUCCUCCCUUCCGUCUCCCUCUGCCUCUCCCUCCCUCCCUCCCUCCCAUCUCCUUCUGUCUCUCUCCCUCCUCCCUUCCGUCUCCCUCUGUCUCUCUCCCUCCCUCCCUCCCUCCCAUCUCCUUCUGUCUCUCUCCCUCCUCCCUUCCGUCUCCCUCUGUCUCUCUCCCUCCCUUCCAUCUCCGUCAGUCUCUCUCCCUCCCUUCCGUCUCCCUCAGUCUCUGUCCCUCCCUUCCGUCUCCCUCUGCCUCUCCCUCCCUCCCUUCCGUCUCCCUCUGCCUCUCCCUCCCUCCCUCCCUUCCGUCUCCCUCUGCCUCUCCCUCCCAUCUCCCUCUGUCUCUCUCCCUCCCUUCCAUCUCCCUCUGUCUCGCUACCUCUUCUCUCCCUACCUCCUGCCUCUCUUCCCCCCUCCCAUUCCUUAAUGUCAAUGUUCCCGUGUUCGCGGACACCGCAUUCACAGUAAAAGCUGCAAAUGUAGCAUCAAUCAGACAUUACCUUCAAAUGGUGCAUAGCUGA
ensembl:lncRNA